rnacentral:rRNA from 1 species
AGCUCCAAUAGCGUAUAUUAAAGUUGUUGCGGUUAAAAAGCUCGUAGUUGGACUUCUGUUGAGGUGGGCCGGUCCGCAUAUCUUGCGUGAGCCGUGUUUUACCGCCUUAGCAUACCUGUCGGGAAACGGUAGUUCGUUUAAUCGCGAGCUAUCGGCGCCCGGCGCAUUUACUUGAGGAAAUUAGAGUGUUCACCGCAGGCGACCGUUCUGAAUACAUUAGCAUGGAAUAAUAAUAUAGGACCUUGGUGCUAUUUUUGUUGGUUUCUAGUACUGAGGUAAUGAUGAAUAGGGAUAAUUGGGGGCAUUCGUAUUAACGCGUCAGAGGUGGAAUUCUUGGAUUGCGUUACGACGAACCACUGCGAAAGCAUUUGUCAAGGAUGUUUUCA